rnacentral:lncRNA from 1 species
UGUGAUUAUAUGUAUUCUUGGUUUCUGUUUAAGUAGGCUUCUUUUCAUGUUUAUUUUUCCAUUCUCAUUCUCACCUGAGAAACCUUUUUCUGGACACGUUUGCAGGGGUUGCUUUGAAAACAGGUGAUCAGGAGUCUCCACCUUAUUUCAUAUGAAAUCUGACUAGUCCUUCUCAGAGUCGACUGAGAAUGUCUUACACAUCUCAGAAAUUCACUGGAUCUUUUUGCAGCUGCCACACAUUGGUACCUCAUAACCAUUCUAUCGACCAGCUUGCUUCUCCAUUUCUUACAACUCCAAAUUAAAACAGAAAUUCUUGUCAUUAGCCUGUCUUGUCAUGAUGUUGCAUUUUUGCUUUUAAAUCUCAUCCCAUUCAGUUUUCCAGCUCACAAGGUCAUCUCAUUCUUGCCGUGUCACAAUCUUCUCCUCCUCCAUGCUGGUAACUGUGUCAUCUUUGUAUUUCUUAAUCUAAUCCUUGAACCAAGGUUGCUAUUGCAUGUAUUAAGUGGGAUCAAUCUUACUAAGAAAGCACAUUAUUUUUUCUCAGGUGAUCUACUAGUAAUGAGAAUGUAUUUUAUUUUCUCCCACUUCAGGUCUACCUCCACGCUUUCAAUUACUGCCUCUUCCAAAGUCUGCAGUAUUCAGUGUCAAAAUCACAUGAGUAUGGGUUUAUUAUUUCUCCUUUCUUGGAAUGUGAGUCCUGUGUUUGAUGUUCUCCAGUUUUAUUUUUGCUUGAGCAACAAUGAUCUGGGGUGCAAAAAGAACAAAGUUUUCAAGUAAAGGUUCAUGAAACUAACUGGAAUGAUUGGGAACACUGUAGUUCCCAUUAGUCUAUAAGUUUCAUUAAAAAACUUGCUAUUGNUCUUCUCUUUAUUUUCCACAUUCUUAGCUGAAAAAGAGCCUUUCACUGUGCAUUCUCUUUCCCUUUGAAAGAUUGAGCUCAGGUACUAUUUUUACUGGGUGGCUAACUUGGGAGACAUGGCUUACCUUCUUAAUCAGUCUCUCUUUCUCAUCCUUGAAAGUUUUUUUGCUUACUCCUGGUAUCUUCUUUGAAGUGCUUCCCAUCUUUGCUGUGUUUUUCUCACUUAACAUUCCAAAUAGUUUCAACCUUCUAUUAAAGUUAUUCCUCUAUAUUCUGGAACUCAGUGCAGUCCAAUGAGUUGUGUUAACUUUUCUAGACACUCAGAGUUGGCCUUGUUUAAUCUCAAGCCCUCUUUGUAGACUUAUUUUUAUAUAUCCUGUUAUAUAUCAUUUGACUCAUGAAAAGACAAGUCAGUACACAAGCGCUUGACACAUUUCUCUCUUUAGCCAGCUUUUCUAUAGGAUUAUUGCUGCUUUUAAUUUUUUCACCCCUACUGUUGUCCCUGGUGAGGCUUAUUUUUGAUGAGAGGUAAAGAACUGGAGAAUUCACAUCGUGGAUUAAAGAAUUGCAAACUGCCACAAAAAACCUACUCAAGGGAGUUUAAAUAUUCAGAUUUUGGACAUUAGAUUUAUAAUAUAUUUAUUAGUUCUAUAAAUCUAAUGUAUAAAACCUUAGAAGCAAGGUUCACAUCCAUGGAUUGGACUAGAAAGAGAUGACUGUAGGGGCAGGAUUACCUUUGAAGACAGGCUCAAGGCGAAGGGGAAAAAGGAACAAUCAAAAACUAAUAAAGAUUGUCCUUAAGAGAAAUCGUCGUCA